AUGGUGUCGAUCAGAGCUGGUUCGGCCGUCCAAUCCAGGGCGGUCGUCGUAAGAGGGAACCCGGUGCGAGUCCGGGACUGCCCCGCAGCGGUGAACGGGAACGACAGCCGUCAGGAAGCACUGGACACAUCACUAGUCCGGGAAGCGACGGCCAGUAGGCGCCACCAGGCACGCCCGUGAGUCCGAAGACCUGCCAGCCGCCCCGCACGCGC
rnacentral:ncRNA from 2 species